GCCAACAUAGCUCAGUCGGUUAGAGCAAUCCCCUCAUAAGGGAGAGGUCGCGGGUUCAAGUCCCGAGGUUGGCACCA
rnacentral:tRNA from 1 species